rnacentral:rRNA from 1 species
AUCAACUUUCGAUGGUAGGAUAGAGGCCUACCAUGGUGGUAACGGGUAACGGGGUGUUAGGGCACGACACCGGAGAGGGAGCCUGAGAAACGGCUACCACAUCCAAGGAUGGCAGCAGGCGCGCAAAUUACCCAAUCCCGACGCGGGGAGGUAGUGACAAUAAAUAACAAUACGGGGUCCUUUCGGGUUUCGUAAUUGGAAUGAGUACAAUUUAAAUCUCUUAACGAGGAACAAUUGGAGGGCAAGUCUGGUGCCAGCAGCCGCGGUAAUUCCAGCUCCAAUAGCGUAUAUUAAAGUUGUUGCAGUUAAAAAGCUCGUAGUUGAAUUUCGGGAUUAGUACGUUGGUCGUGCCUUCGGUACGUACUGGUGUUACUGAUUCCUACCUUCUGACGAACCAUCAUGUCAUUAAUUUGGUGUGGUGGGAAAUCAGGACUGUUACUUUGAAAAAAUUAGAGUGUUUAAAGCAGGCUCGCGCUUGAAUACAUUAGCAUGGAAUAAUGAAAUAGGACGUUGACCCUAUUUUGUUGGUUUCUAGGAUUGACGUAAUGAUUAAUAGGGAUAGUUGGGGGCAUUAGUAUUCAAUUGUCAGAGGUGAAAUUCUUGGAUUUAUUGAAGACUAACUACUGCGAAAGCAUUUGCCAAGGAUGUUUUUAUUAAUCAAGAACGAAAGUUAGGGGAUCGAAGACGAUCAGAUACCGUCGUAGUCUUAACCAUAAACUAUGCCGACUAGGGAUCGGAUGAUGUUAUUUUUAAUGACUCAUUCGGCGCCUUACGGGAAACCAAAGUGUUUGGGUUC